rnacentral:lncRNA from 1 species
GUGAUUUUUUUUUAAUAGGAAAGAAAUAUAUUGAUAAUUAUGAAAAUUGUAUAUAAAUUUAUAAAUAUUCGUAUUAACUACCGCUCAAUAAAUCUAACAAGCGAUGAUUGAGAGUGAAGUCAUGUGUCCAAUUGUUUUUGGUUUCAAUUUAUAUUUAUAUUUAAUGGGGUAUGAGGCCCAUAACCCAUGCACGCGAGAUCUAUUAUGUAUAUUAUUAAUUGAAUGACGAUAUGGAAUAAAAUUGAAUGAUAAGAAUAAGUUUGUAGAUAGAUUGUCAUAUUUUAAGACAAUUUUGAUUUGUAAUCAUACUGCUAUAAAUAUUAAAUCAAUUUAACUUUUUUUUUAUAGACAAUCUAUGUUCAUAGACUUAAAAAAAUGAAUCGAUUGAGAUCCUGUUUUGGGUAUUUAUUUAUUUUAUCUUUUUAUGUUAGUAAAUUUUUUUCAUCGUUUUUUUAAAUUUUAAAUUUUUUUAGUUUAUUUUGACAAGAAUAGUCCGAAGAUAGAUUUUUUUUUUAUCUAAUUUGAUUUUUUUUUAUUAAAAACGAUUAUAUUUUUUGACUCCUUUUGUCAAUAAAAAUUAAAAAAAUAUAAAUUUUUAAUCAAACAAAAAAAUAAAUUCACUAUAAAUAAAAACUUGAAAAUAAAAAAAUAAAAAUAUCCAAACUUGAAUCGAUGAAUCUUUUAGUCAUCCAAACCGGACCGACAUAGCACAAAAAUCAAAUCUAUUUGGAUAAACUGCAGAAUUCACGUGUAUACUGAAAAUCAAAGGCUGACAGCCUCGUCAAUCAGCGCAUUAAAUUGGAAAAUUAUUCAGUGCUUUGAGCGCAAGUCCUAGUAGUGUUCUAACAUUAGAAUGAUUGAUCUAAAAUACUGAUAUUCAUUAACUUUUGUGUAUAAAUUGUAGUCGACAUGUGCAAAUGUAUCACUCAGUAAAUGAUGUAGAGCAAUACUCUAAGAGUAUCGAAUAAUCUCUCAUUAAAUUUGGAUCAGCUGGGCUUGAAUCUGAACCGAAGUCCAGUUACAAGCAUUCACGAGGUGAGCAUCUUUUGUGAAGAUAGACCCAUCAUCCAUCCCGACCCAAUAGUGGCCGCAAAAAGUUCUGGCCCGGCCCACCUUCAUAGCACGUCCAAUUCAGAUCAUUUGUCCAAAUCGUUCGACCGAUUAGCCUAGAUUAUUCGGCCCGUUUUUUGGCCCAACCCAUCCGAUCCUCCACACUUCUCCAGCGCCAAGAACUGUACCAUUGGACUAAACUCAUUCAUUAAUAAAAAUAUUAAAUUUUAAUAAAUAAAUACAUCGUCAAAUAAUAAAAAAGAGGAGAAUUUUUUAGGGACCAAUAUUUGAACCCGCAACCUCGACCCUCUGCACCUAGAACCAUACUACUAGGCCAAACACUCAAUUCAUUUAUAAAAAGGUUAUGUUUUAAUAGUAAACAAAUCGCCAAACAAUAACAAGAAAAGAAGAAUAUUUGAGAGAGCAAGAUUCGAACUCACAACCUCCCUCCCCUGCAGCUUGAACCAUACUACUGGACCAAACACUUAUUCAUUUAUAAAAAUUAGUAAUUGUCCGUACCCACGAGCACUAUGUAAAAAAAAAUAUUACUUCUUAAGCAUACUCGUUAGAGUUUUGCAACAUAAAAAAACACAUAAGAUAUAAAUGUCAGAUAAGAGAUUUAUUGUAUGCAUAUACGAAAGGAUACAUUACUAUAAAAUAGAAAAUAAAUUAAAAAGUAUAAUAAUUUUUAAAAAAAUAUUACUAAUUUGAGAGAAAUGAGAAGAAAAGAAAGGGGGUUUUAUUUUUUUUGUAUGUGGGUCCCACUAAAAAAAUAAUUCAAUCAGUGAAACAUAUGCCCACAUUUUUAGAAAUUCUUUGGCUAUUGAACCACAACCUAUAUGAGACCUAUAACUUUAUAAAGAAGAAAAUAAUAUUUUUUGGGGAGAAAAACUAGUCUCAUGUGAAAUUUCAGUCAUUGGAUUAACUAAAAUGGAUUUCAACCGUAAAUAGUGUUUGAUAGUUUGAAAGAUUCAAAAAUUAUUGUGUCUUAUAUUAUAGAUAUUAGAUUUUAAUAAUAAACACUCAUUUGUUUAUGAAAAUAUAUUUAACAUUAUUUAUCAAUAGGCAAUAAAUGAAAUUAAUCUUUUGACUCUUUUAUUUGUUUAGUCAAUCCUAAUUUAUUGUUUAAUAGAAAUAAAUUAUUGUUGUAAAUUAUUAAAAUAUAAUUUUUAUUUUUUAUUUUUUUUAAAUAAUAAAAAAUAUUUGUAAUAUUAAAAAAAUAAACAUAUAUGAAAGAUAUAACAUUACAUUAAUUACAAAAUGUAUCAGAACGUCGCUAAAAUUAAAUAAAAAAAGCAUUAAAAAAUUAAACUGGACUUGUCCAUCCUGAACCGGACCGUUACUAGAGCAGUCAAGCCCGUUAUUAUAACGGUCUAGUCUAAUAGACCGAUCUAGGCCAGGAGAAUGGCUAACGGUCUAGGCAAAAUUCAAACCGUUACUUAGCGAUCUA